rnacentral:rRNA from 1 species
AGUGAACGCUGGCGGUAGGCCUAACACAUGCAAGUCGAACGGAAGCACAGUAAGAGCUUGCUCUUACGGGUGGCGAGUGGCGGACGGGUGAGGAGUACAUCGGAAUCUAAUUUUUCGUGGGGGAUAACGUAGGGACACUUACGAUAAUACCGCAUACGAUCUACGGGUGAAAGCAGGGGAUCUUCGGACCUUGCGCGAUUCAAUGAGCCGAUGUCGGAUUAGCUAGUUGGCGGGGUAAAGGCCCACCAAGGCGACGAUACGUAGCUGGUCUGAGAGGAUGAUCAGCCACACUGGAACUGAGACACGGUCCAGACUCCUACGGGAGGCAGCAGUGGGGAAUAUUGGACAAUGGGCGCAAGCCUGAUCCGGCCAUACCGCGUGAGUGAAGAAGGCCUUCGGGUUGUAAAGCCCUUUUGUUGGGAAAGAAAAGCAGCAUGUUAAUACCCCGCUGUUCUGACGGUACCCAAAGAAUAAGCACCGGCUAACUUCGUG